AAUGGAUUCUACAUCUGCUCAGAAGAGACCGACAUCUAGCAUGCCCCAGACACCCAGUUUCUCAGAGGAAGCCUAAAAAAAGGAAAACCCAUGCAUGUUUCUCUGAAUGUAACGGACAAUGACAUCCAUAAAUGUAAUUUAUAAUAUAGGUUGGUAAUAAUGAUUUGUUGACCUACCUUGCUGUCAUUGGUAACCUCAACAACAUUAAUGCCUGUGUGAAUGUCCAGAUCGGACAUCAGCAGUUUACGGGCCUGAGCUGAUUGCAGUGUACAAAGUGAGCACUGGCAAUUGUCUCUCAGCCACGUGAAGGGAUACAAGUUUUGCCCUCCAUCUUCCCACUCAACCUCCACCAGCCGCUCUUCAUCCAGUGCUCGGGCAUGUCUCACAGAGUGGCUGGCCACAGAGAAGGAAGAUGAACCCAAAGUCUGCUGUCCACGAAGCUGCACAAGUGUCGGAUUAACAGACGAUGGAUGUGAAACCUUUUG